ACCCGAAGCCGGUGCGCUAACCUCGCAAGAGGAGGCAGCCGUCCACGGUMRGGUCAGCGACUGGGGUGAAGUCGUAACAAGGUAGCCGUAGGUGAACCUGCAGAAGGAUCA
rnacentral:rRNA from 1 species